GGCGGCGUGCCUAAUACAUGCAAGUCGAACGAGAGCGACCGGUGCUUGCACUGGUCAAUCUAGUGGCGAACGGGUGAGUAACACGUGGGUAACCUGCCCAUCAGAGGGGGAUAACAUUCGGAAACGGAUGCUAAAACCGCAUAGGUUCUUGAGUCGCAUGACCCGAGAAGGAAAAGAGGCUUCGGCUUCUGCUGAUGGAUGGACCCGCGGUGCAUUAGCUAGUUGGUGAGGUAACGGCUCACCAAGGCCGUGAUGCAUAGCCGACCUGAGAGGGUGAUCGGCCACAUUGGGACUGAGACACGGCCCAAACUCCUACGGGAGGCAGCAGUAGGGAAUCUUCCGCAAUGGACGCAAGUCUGACGGAGCAACGCCGCGUGAGUGAAGAAGGAUUUCGGUUCGUAAAACUCUGUUGUUAGAGAAGAACAGCGCAUAGAGUAAACUGUUAUGCGUGUGACGGAU
rnacentral:rRNA from 1 species